UGGGGAAUAUUGGACAAUGGGCGAAAGCCUGAUCCAGCCAUGCCGCGUGUGUGAAGAAGGUCUUCGGAUUGUAAAGCACUUUAAGUUGGGAGGAAGGGCAUUAACCUAAUACGUUAGUGUUUUGACGUUACCGACAGAAUAAGCACCGGCUAACUCUGUGCCAGCAGCCGCGGUAAUACAGAGGGUGCAAGAGUUAAUCGGAAUUACUGGGCGUAAAGCGCGCGUAUGUGGUUUGUUAAGUUGGAUGUGAAAUCCCCGGGCUCAACCUGGGAACUGCAUUCAAAACUGACUGACUAGAGUAUGGUAGAGGGUGGUGGAAUUUCCUGUGUAGCGGUGAAAUGCGUAGAUAUAGGAAGGAACACCAGUGGCGAAGGCGACCACCUGGACUAAUACUGACACUGAGGUGCGAAAGCGUGGGGAGCAAACA
rnacentral:rRNA from 1 species